UACGGAGGGAGCUAGCGUUGUUCGGAAUUACUGGGCGUAAAGCGCGUGUAGGCGGCCAUCUAAGUCGGGCGUGAAAUCCCACGGCUCAACCGUGGAAGUGCACUCGAAACUGGAUGGCUAGAGUCCUGGAGAGGAAGGUGGAAUGCUUGGUGUAGAGGUGAAAUUCGUAGAUAUCAAGCGGAACACCGGUGGCGAAGGCGGCCUUCUGGACAGUGACUGACGCUGAGACGCGAAAGCGUGGGGAGCCGAACAGG
rnacentral:rRNA from 1 species